rnacentral:rRNA from 1 species
CAUGUAGGCGGCUUAAUAAGUCGAGCGUGAAAAUGCGGGGCUCAACCCCGUAUGGCGCUGGAAACUGUUAGGCUUGAGUGCAGGAGAGGAAAGGGGAAUUCCCAGUGUAGCGGUGAAAUGCGUAGAUAUUGGGAGGAACACCAGUGGCGAAGGCGCCUUUCUGGACUGUGUCUGACGCUGAGAUGCGAAAGCCAGGGUAGCGAACA